rnacentral:rRNA from 1 species
GACGAACGCUGGCGGCGUGCCUAAUACAUGCAAGUAGAACGCUGAAGAGAGGAGCUUGCUCUUCUUGGAUGAGUUGCGAACGGGUGAGUAACGCGUAGGUAACCUGCCUUGUAGCGGGGGAUAACUAUUGGAAACGAUAGCUAAUACCGCAUAACAAUGGAUGACACAUGUCAUUUAUUUGAAAGGGGCAAUUGCUCCACUACAAGAUGGACCUGCGUUGUAUUAGCUAGUAGGUGAGGUAAUGGCUCACCUAGGCGACGAUACAUAGCCGACCUGAGAGGGGGAUCGGCCACAAUGGGACUUGGAAACGGCCCAGACUCCUACGGGAGGCAGCAGUAGGGAAUCUUCGGCAAUGGGGGCAACGCUGACCGAGCAACGCCGCGUGAGUGAAGAAGGUUUUCGGAUCGUAAAGCUCUGUUGUAAGUCAAGAACGGGUGUGAGAGUGGAAAGUUCACACUGUGACGGUAGCUUACCAGAAAGGGACGGCUAACUACGUG